UUGAAAAUGAUGAUGAAAAACCAGAGUCAUCACAGCUCCAUCAAAGCCGAAGUGAUGAGAUCACAGAGGCUGAGCCUCUAGCCAGCAGCUCAUCUGUACACAGAACACUGACUGCAGAAGCUGAUGGAAAAGAUGAUGGGGGACCACAACCAGCCAGCAACUUGGGUCCAAACAGUCAUUUACAACGAGAUACCAGUGGCAGGAGUUCAGAUACUUCUGGAACUGAGACUGAUGACAGUUACGACUGGAAACAGACCAGAGAACUUCAGUCACAUUUUAAUUAUGGAAAAAAUACUAACAUUGUUAGUUUAAGCAAUUGCAAGAUUGGUGAGAAACAAUAUAAUUGUUCUAAGUAUGGAAAAGUAUCUGGUCACAUAAACAACUUAGAUCGACACAAGGGGAGGCAAACAAGCGUAAAACCAUUUAGAUGUUCUGAUCGGGGUAAAAGACAAAAACAGAAAGCCACCUGAAAAAACACACAAGAAUUCAUACAGGAGAAAAACCAUUUGGCUGUUCUGAAUGUGGUAAAACAUUUGGAAAAAAGAGCAACUUGAACACACACAUGAUAAUUCAUACAGGACGAAAACAGUUUGGCUGUUCUGAAUGUGGUCAAAGGUUUGGACUAAAGAGCAGCCUGAACAGACACACGAUAAUUCAUACAGGACGAAAACAAUUUGGAUGUUCUGAAUGUGGUCAAAGGUUUGGACUAAAGAGCAGCCUGGACAGACACACGAGAAUUCAUACAGGACAAAAACCAUUUGGUUGUUCUGAAUGUGGUAAAGCAUUUAGACAAAAGAGCAACUUGAACACUCACAUGAUAAUUCAUACAGGACAAAAACAGUUUGCCUGUUCUGAAUGUGGU